CUACGGGAUGCUGCAGUGGGGAAUAUUGGACAAUGGGGGAAACCCUGAUCCAGCAAUGCCGCGUGUGUGAAGAAGGCCUGCGGGUUGUAAAGCACUUUCGGUUGGGAGGACUGCUUCUAGCACUAAUAUUGUUGGAAGUUGACGUUACCUUCAGAAGAAGCACCGGCUAACUCCGUGCCAGCAGCCGCGGUAAUACGGAGGGUGCAAGCGUUAAUCGGAAUUACUGGGGCGUAAAGCGCGCGUAGGCGGCUAGAUCAGUCGGGUGUGAAAGCCCCGGGCUUAACCUGGGAACUGCAUCCGAUACUGGCUAGCUUGAGUACAGGAGAGGAGAGUGGAAUUCCACAUGUAGCGGUGAAAUGCGUAGAUAUGUGGAGGAACACCAAUGGCGAAGGCAGCUCUCUGGCCUGAUACUGACGCUGAGGUGCGAAAGCGUGGGGAGUAAACAGGAUUAGAUACCCCUGUAGUC
rnacentral:rRNA from 1 species